UACGUAGGGGGCGAGCGUUGUCCGGAGUUACUGGGCGUAAAGGGCGUGUAGGCGGUUGGGUAAGUCUGGUGUGAAAUCCCGUGGCUCAACCACGGAAUAGCGCUGGAAACUGUCUGACUGGAGUUCGGUAGGGGUCACUGGAAUCCCCGGUGUAACGGUGAAAUGUGUAGAUAUCGGGGGGAACACCUGUGGCGAAGGCGGGUGACUGGGCCGCAACUGACGCUGAUACGCGAAAGCGUGGGGAG
rnacentral:rRNA from 1 species